rnacentral:tRNA from 39 species
GGAAAAAUCGCCUAAUGGUAUGGCAAUAGUUUGCUAAACUACGCAUUUAUAAAAUGCUUGGGGGUUCGAUUCCCCCUUUUUCCG